UGGGGAUAUUGCACAAUGGAGGAAACUCUGAUGCAGCAACGCCGCGUGAGGGAGGAAGGUCUUCGGAUUGUAAACCUUAGUAGUCAGGGACGAAAGAAAUGACGGUACCUGAAGAGUAAGCUCCGGCUAACUACGUGCCAGCAGCCGCGGUAAUACGUAGGGAGCGAGCGUUGUCCGGAUUUACUGGGUGUAAAGGGUGCGUAGGCGGGACUGCAAGUCAGACGUGAAAUACCGAGGCUUAACUUCGGGGCUGCGUUUGAAACUGUGGUUCUUGAGUGAAGUAGAGGCAGGCGGAAUUCCUAGUGUAGCGGUGAAAUGCGUAGAUAUUAGGGGGAACACCAGUGGCGAAGGCGGCCUGCUGGGCUUUAACUGACGCUGAAGCACGAAAGCAUGGGGAGCAAAACAGGAUUAGAUACCCUGGUAGUCCAUGCCGUAAACGAUGAUAGCUAGGUGUGGGGGGACUGACCCCUUCCGUGCCGCAGCAAACGCGAUAAGCUAUCCACCUGGGGAGUACGACCGCAAGGUUGAAACUCAAAUGAAUUGACGGGGUCAUAGCUGUUUUCCU
rnacentral:rRNA from 1 species